CUUAUCUCCAUGACACACUGAAGAGCUUCUAAGGAUCUGAUCAGCCCUCGAGUACCUACUUCACUGUCCUAUUGAACAUUUACUCACUUAGAUUAGGACAUUUUCCAAUAACAACCAUAGGUAAUAUUUAUAUAGUUCUAUAUUAUUUUCAAAGUCUCUCUAAUAUUACAUGAAUUGAUCCUCACAGCACAUCUAUGACGCUUUAGUCAAGCAUUUUAGUUGCAAAUAACAGAAACCUAUGUCAAACUUUAAGAAAAAGAGGACAUUUCACUAUCAUCAACAUCAGCAUCUCAUGAAACCCAAAGGCAACCGGCCUCCAAAAAGGCUGGAACAGGGACCUGGAAGGCCAGGAAGUACCAAGGUGUCACUGACUUUUAAGAAAACCACUGAGCCACUUCCUUUCCUGACCGUGUUUGGAAUUACUGUACACAUCUUUUUCCUGGCCUCUGGCAGAAGCUUGUAAUAAGCUUCCAUAUGUGACUACUUUUUAAAUUCUCUCCCAUGGACACAUUUAUACCUUAAAACUUUGCCUUAUCAUUUCCUUGGCUAUGGGAUGAAAGAGAGUUUCAGAAUUCUUUCAACACCUUGCAGAACUGACAUGAUGUGUGGUAUAGUUCAGGUCUGUAUGCCUAAAUUAAAUUUUGUGUGUUUAUAGAAGCAAUUAUGAAAUUUCAAGGUUCUAUUCUUAUAGAAAUACUUAAUAUAGAAGAUGAAAACCUCCUAAUCC
ensembl:lincRNA